rnacentral:rRNA from 1 species
GACAGAGGGUGCAAACGUUGUUCGGAAUUACUGGGCGUAAAGCGAGUGUAGGCGGUUCGAUAAGUCGGAUGUGAAAGCCCCGGGCUCAACCCGGGAAGUGCACUCGAUACUGUCGAGCUAGAGUAUCGGAGAGGUUGGUGGAAUUCUCGGUGUAGAGGUGAAAUUCGUAGAUAUCGAGGGGAACACCGGUGGCGAAGGCGGCCUUCUGGACAGUGACUGACGCUGAGACGCGAAAGCGUGGGGAGCAAACAGG